rnacentral:rRNA from 1 species
CUACGGGGUGCUCCAGUGAGGAAUAUUGCACAAUGGGGGGAACCCUGAUGCAGCAACGCCGCAUGGAGGAUGACGCAUUUCGGUGUGUAAACUCCUUUUAUAUGUCAAGAAAAUGACGGUAGCAUAUGAAUAAGCACCGGCUGACUCCGUGCCAGCAGCCGCGGUAAUACGGAGGGUGCAAGCGUUACUCGGAAUCACUGGGCGUAAAGGACGCGUAGGCGGGUUGGAAAGUCAGGUGUGAAAUCCUACAGCUUAACUGUAGAACUGCACUUGAAACUUCUAAUCUAGAGUAUGGGAGGGGGAGAUGGAAUUAGUGGUGUAGGGGUAAAAUCCGUAGAUAUCACUAGGAAUACCUAAAGCGAAGGCGAUCUCCUGGAACAUUACUGACGCUAAGGCGUGAAAGCGUGGGGAGCAAACAGGAUUAGAUACCCCGGUAGUC